UGUAUGAUCUGAGUUGUUGGAUCUUGUACCCAAUACAGAAAACGACUUCAACUAACAAAAUGGGAAAUCCCCACACUUUGCUUAAAUCAAUAACUUAUUAGUGUCAUAGUGUCACUGAAGCUUUUUCCCUCAACUGUGUAACAAUAUUUUGAUCUCAUAUUUUGAUUGCAAACUUCCACACUUCUAAGUGAAUGCUUUUAACCAUUAUCUAUAUACUUCACCAUGCAUGUAUGGAGAAAACAGCCAGUUAGGUUCUUUAAAAAACAAGAACGCUUAAAAAAAAAUUAGGGCGUCUGUGGCCUUAGGAUACUACAUCCUUGUUAGAGUCUUUUUAGUUUGCGGCUGCAGUAAUUAUUAAAGCUUGCUUGAGUGAGAAGUUUGCCACUGCAGACUCCAUUUGACCCCUUUCUCGAGAGGGGAAUAUAGUUACAGUGCUUUGCUAUACCAAGGAACAAAAAGCACAUAUAUAACUGGAAUGUGUAGAAAUAAGGGAAGCAUCCCAGUGGCUAUUUUUCUAUUACUGGAAUUUAAAAGAAAAAAAAAGGUUCAGGUUUUUUUACCUCAGUGUAUACAAUCAGCUCUUUAAGAUGGAAGCUUUAUGAAAUAAGCACUGAAAAAAUAUUCUUACAUUGCUUCUAUAAGUGUCAUUGCUUGCUGUGAAAUAGAUCAAUCUCUGCAAAAUAGCCGAUAAGUGUUUCCGUGCAGUAAAAGAUGACUUCUGCUAUACUUGAAAAAAAGGGAUGCAUAGCUUAGAAGGCAAGGCAAUUCAUCACUUUUGUCAUAAAUACUUAACACUAACCGUUGGCAAAGGAUUCUGAUUGACUGAUUUCCCAGACAUUUUUUAAAAUCCCUGUCUAACUUAGAUUAUCACAAUAUGUUUAUCCCAGAAUAAAGCAUUUAUAGUCCUUAAUCCCUUACAAAGGACUGUGAAAUUUGGCAGUUAUGAUUUUGCAUGCCUGUUCAGUGAAAAAGCAUUUAAUCUUCUGCUUUGCUAAAAUUAUAUGGAGGCUGGUUUGAAACUGUUUAAAUGUUACUAUGCUUUGAAAUAUGCAUCAUACAAAAAGGAAUUUACUUACCAUAAUGCAAAGUCUUCAGGCUGAGCAAAAAGGUGCAGAUCAGCAAGCCUCUGACUCUUCCUUCAUUAGAGGGCUUUGUGAAAGGCAAGUGCAUUGAAGCCAUACUUCCCCCCUCCCCAGUACCUGUCAUUUAAAACUGUAAUUUGGAGACUUGCAUAUGGAACUUUCAAGAUCAUCUUAAUAGAACGGCAACAUUAAACAUAAUUACUCCAUUCUCUGGGCUUUGUUUGAACUAUAGCUGUCAGUAACCAAGGGUGUUGAAAUUCCUACUUAAACAUUUUCUAUUCCCUGGUGAAUGUUCUUUCUUUGCUUAUUUGAAUAAUCUGAAUCUAAGGUUCUUUCGUUCUCAUGCAUCUCGUUCUCAUUUUGCUCAGUCCUGGUGCUUCCAUUAUGGUGGCCUAAAUGUUGUCUGUGCUUCAGUCCCACCCACCAAAUCCCACUUUAUACUGUACAAAUGCCUUAGCAAAGGGCGCUUACUGAGCCAUCCCAUUAUACUCUGUAUAUUCCUCACAUGGCACGAUUGGCAUGACUAAAGCAAAGGAUCUCUGUUAUCACUGAACUUUUCAGAAGUGUAAUCUUUAGUCAUUCUAGUUAAUGUUAAAUAAGGCGUACUUUCUAGCUACUUCUGAUGUGAUAUUUUUCUGCCUAAAGAUGUCAGCUGAGGCUUGAAUGAAAAUAAAAUAAAAAGAUUUGAUUCGAAACC